rnacentral:tmRNA from 1 species
GGGGGCGUUUGGUUUCGACGGGGGUAGUAUGGACGAGAGCAGCGAGCCGAGUUUCCACCUCGCUAACUGGAAAACUUAAAUUAAACGCAGACAAUAAUUACGCAUACGCAGCUUAAUUAAAAGCUGCGCGCUUUACCGGGCUUCUGCCUGUGAAGACCGGAUAAAGUGUCAUAUGAAACAGGCUAUAUCCCUUUAACCGCCUUGAUAAAGGGAAAGAAACUAAGAGGCUAGCGAUGUAGGAAUCCUGCUCUUUGGAGUUCUACAGAGCGAAAUCAAAAAAAAGAGCUACACUCGUAGAAGCUUUCGUUGGUAUACCUUCGGACAGGGGUUCGAUUCCCCUCGCCUCCACCA